AUGCGAUUAAACGCCUAUCUGUUAGGAAGGCCGAACGGAAGGGAAUGUGGCCCCACUGGCUGGAAGCCGACCCGACUCCUACUUCGGUUCCGGAUACUGGGGUCAGCCCUAUCCCUGACCGCCGUUUCGGGAUAAGCUCGAGAGUCGGUCCGGUCACUCGGUUUCUUAGUGCCGGGGCGGAGGAGGCGCGUUUGUAUAUUUGUUGUUUCCGUUCCGGGUCGACGGAAAAAUCCGAUAAUAGCUGCUAGAAUUUCCGACAGAAAGAUAUUAAACUACGCGUAUAGGUUUCCGGCACGGGCCAUCGGCCACUUUACUCGCAUUUAUGGCGUAGUUGAGUGUCUUCCCAACUGUAGGGCGGGCUUCCUCGGUGGCCGCUAGUCUAUGGCCAGAGGGCGCGCGAGAAUUAACAAAAACACCAUUUACUUUAUUUAUUUCAUCCGAAAGCGCUAAAUUGGG
rnacentral:lncRNA from 1 species